AUUGGAAUAAUGGAGACAUUUUCAGCAUUAACAGAUUGCAACAAUGUUUCAAUGAUGUUAUCUCUAUGUUUCAAUGAUGUUAUCUCUAGCUUGUUGGCUCCCAAUGACAUGAGAAGCAUCUACAAAGGAGUGGUUCAUCUCCCUCCCCCUGUGAAUGACAUGCCUAUCAAAAAUCCGCUCGGUGAGACCAAAAUCAGAUUUAAGAGCAACGAUUUCAGCUACCCUCUCUCCAAUCUACUUUAGUUUAUGUGCCAUUCUAAAGCGCAAUGCAAGUGGAUUAGAGCUAGAA
rnacentral:misc_RNA from 1 species